rnacentral:rRNA from 1 species
UGGGGAAUAUUGCACAAUGGGGGGAACCCUGAUGCAGCCAUGCCGCGUGAAUGAAGAAGGCCUUCGGGUUGUAAAGUUCUUUCGGUGACGAGGAAGGUUGAUAGGUUAAUAGCCUAUCAAAUUGACGUUAAUCACAGAAGAAGCACCGGCUAACUCCGUGCCAGCAGCCGCGGUAAUACGGGGGGUGCGAGCGUUAAUCGGAAUAACUGGGCGUAAAGGGCACGCAGGCGGUGACUUAAGUGAGAUGUGAAAGCCCCGAGCUUAACUUGGGAAUUGCAUUUCAUACUGGGUCGCUAGAGUACUUUAGGGAGGGGUAGAAUUCCACGUGUAGCGGUGAAAUGCGUAGAGAUGUGGAGGAAUACCGAAGGCGAAGGCAGCCCCUUGGGAAUGUACUGACGCUCAUGUGCGAAAGCGUGGGGAGCAAACAGGAUUAGAUACCCUGGUAGUCCACGCCGUAAACGAUGAGUGCUAGGUGUUAGACCCUUUCCGGGGUUUAGUGCCGUAGCUAACGCAUUAAGCACUCCGCCUGGGGAGUACGACCGCAAGGUUG